UUAACUCACCGAAGUCAUCAAUCCAUCAUCCAGUGAAUCAAUCCUCUACAUUAUAUCGGUAAAAGGGAUCAAGAGGCGUCUCAACCAUUUGUCGUCGGCUUGCGCGACAUGAUCAUGGCCACCGUGAUGUAGGGAAAACUGAAUCUGAGGAAGAAGGUCCUGCCGGCCGUGGUUGUCCGUCAGCGGAAGCCAUGUCGCCAAAAGGAUGGAGUGUUCAUGUAUUUUGAGGACAGCGCUCAACCCCAAGGGAGAGAUGAAAGGAUCGACUAUUAAUGGGUCGAUUGGAAAGGAGUGAGCGGAUCGAUAUUCUCUGGCUCAGAAUUGCAAGUGCUGCCAAUGUAUCUGAGAGUAAUAGUAAAAGUAGUAGUCUUUGAUUUUAGUUCUUUGUUUCAGUGUUGCUUUCUUAUCUAGGAACUUUUGAUAUCAUCUCUAAUGUUUCAGUGUUCCAAUUUUGUAUGGGUUAUGCCUAAUUGUAUUGCCUAUCAUCUCUAGUCCAAGAUCCCCAAUUUCAUUCAAAACCCUUCAGCAGCGAGACUACUGUGGAGCUGCGUUUGAUUGCCUCUCACCUCCUCACGACCUCACUCAACAAAAGGUGUGGUCAGGCCUUGCUAUGGAAACCCAACAAUGAAUCGAGUUUUUCAUCUGAGAAGUUUAUCUUUCAAGUGAAGACAGAUUUAACCCAGAAGGAGAUGGUAGUACCUUGAAUUUACUUGGUGCCAAAAAUCAAGACCAGAGCUAAUCCUUCAUCGAUUCUAGAUCUACAAGAAUUGAUACAUGAUCUGUACAUAUCUACUGGGAAUCUGCUUGAAGAACCAUGAAGAACAAAUAUAACCAUGAAAAACUGCGGAUUUCCAGUUUUGACCCACUUUCCGAUCAUAUUUUCACAUCUUAACCGUUCAGUUUUUAGGUCCUAAUGUAUA